AAUUAGGGAUUUGAUUUACCCUAAUAAAUCAAAUCCCUAAUUAAUUAAAUCAAUUCCAAAUAGGGAAGUAAUAAUUUGCUUCUAUCUACAGAAUUAUUCCUAUGAAACCCUAGCCUCCAAGACCACUAUAAAAGGAUAGCCACACACAAGGGUUGGGGUACGUCUAAAAUUUCUACUAAAACUAUGCAGAAAAUUCCUUUCAAACUCUAGCCACCUCUUUUCUCUCUCUCUUUCACAUAAGGCUCCAGCAGCCCGGUUUACACAACAAACACAUCUCCGUACCCUAUUAGCUAUUGUUUUCUAUACAAUUCAAUUGAACUAAUUUAGGCAUCAGAGGGCCUUUGGCCAACAUCCCCUGGGUGUGGUCCUCUUAUUUAUUCUAUUUUACAGGGAGAAAGAGGUGGCUAAGAAGAAAGGGAAAUCUUUCUAUCCAAAUAUUCUUGUGGGAAAAUUUGUC
rnacentral:lncRNA from 1 species